rnacentral:rRNA from 1 species
UACAGAGGGGGCAAGCGUUGUUCGGAAUUACUGGGCGUAAAGGGCGCGUAGGCGGCCUGCUAAGUCGAACGUGAAAUCCCUGGGCUACAACCCAGGAACUGCGUCCGAUACUGGUUGGCUUGAAUCCGGGAGAGGGACGUGGAAUUCCAGGUGUAGCGGUGAAAUGCGUAGAUAUCUGGAGGAACACCGGGUGGCGAAGGCGGCCUGCUGGGCAGUAGUUGACACUGAGGCGCGACAGCGUGGGGAGCAAACAGGG